UACGUAGGGGGCUAGCGUUGUCCGGAAUCAUUGGGCGUAAAGCGCGUGUAGGCGGUCCGGUAAGUCCGCUGUGAAAGUCGGGGGCUCAACCCUCGAAUGCCGGUGGAUACUGUCGGGCUAGAGUGCGGAAGAGGCGAGUGGAAUUCCUGGUGUAGCGGUGAAAUACGUAGAGAUUGGGAAGAACACCAGUGGCGAAGGCGACUAUCUGGACGGUUUCUGACACUAAGACUCGAAAGCGUGGGGAGCAAACAGG
rnacentral:rRNA from 1 species